rnacentral:lncRNA from 1 species
AACGGACUCACUAGGAGGACCUAGACUCUUGCAGCUUGAACUGUUAACCAAUGGUGGAAACGCGAGGCUGCCGAAGUUGUGCCUGCCGAGCCAAUCGAGUGGAUGCGUGUGUCCCACAUGACUGUGUUUCCCCUGUCUUUCACAUGGGCAGUAUUUAGUUCAAUUCAGAACUGCAGAUAGUAUAGCCUGCACGGCAGCAAUGGGAUGUCUGAGCGUGAGCGGCUGGCUUCCGAGGGCCGCCACCAAGCCCGCGCGUACGUGUCUCCUGAGCUACCCUGGGAUUGUGCCCCUUGCCAUCCGCCCACCCUCRUCUCUGCAGAAGGAGGCAGCGCGACCGGCACAGCGCAACAAAACAAAACUAGGCAUCACGACAAGCUGCAGACCAGCAAACGAAGCUAAGUGAGGGCAGUAUGACCAAUGUCUGCUGUGUCAGUUCCCCAGCAGUUGAAGCAUGUUAUCAGGUGUCCAAGACCUACAGCUUGCGGAGACUGGAAAGGAAGACAAAUAAGGUCGGAUCGAUGUCCUCAGAGGGCGGAGAAGGGUGGAGAAAAAGGACAAGAUUCAGACCGGACAUACGUACCAGGCAAGCAACCAUUCUUUCUGUAAUUCGGAACCUCUUACAGUUUGCACAGUGA